GUGUGAAUUGCAGAAUCCCGUGAAUCAUCGAGUCUUUGAACGCAAGUUGCGCCCGAGGCCUCGGCCGAGGGCACGUCUGCUUGGGCGUC
rnacentral:rRNA from 1 species